GUCUCGGAAACCGGUAGCGCUUGCAGCAUGGUGAGUGCAUCGCUGAGCUGCCGGCGCUGGGCCUGUGGGGGGAAGAGACUGGAGCGAACUGACUAAAGAAAGGAAACUCGCCUCCCUUACACCUUCAAGGAGUGGUUUCUGCCAGAGGGAUGGCGCGAAAGAGGCCAGGGAUGCCCGCGACGGUUGUGUCGCAGGUUAGCUUUGUACAUAGCAUCUCACUUUGCACAACAACCCUGCAAGGCUGACCAACUGACUGAAGAGCAGAUUGCAGAAUUCAAAGAAGCUUUUUCACUAUUUGACAAAGAUGGUGAUGGAACUAUAACAACAAAGGAAUUGGGAACUGUAAUGAGAUCUCUUGGGCAGAAUCCCACAGAAGCAGAGUUACAGGACAUGAUUAAUGAAGUAGAUGCUGAUGGUAAUGGCACAAUUGACUUCCCUGAAUUUCUGACAAUGAUGGCAAGAAAAAUGAAAGACACAGACAGUGAAGAAGAAAUUAGAGAAGCAUUCCGUGUGUUUGAUAAG
rnacentral:sRNA from 1 species